rnacentral:rRNA from 1 species
GCGUUGUCCGGAUUUAUUGGGCGUAAAGCGAGCGCAGGCGGUUUCUUAAGUCUGAUGUGAAAGCCCCCGGCUCAACCGGGGAGGGUCAUUGGAAACUGGGAGACUUGAGUGCAGAAGAGGAGAGUGGAAUUCCAUGUGUAGCGGUGAAAUGCGUAGAUAUAUGGAGGAACACCAGUGGCGAAGGCGACUCUCUGGUCUGUAACUGACGCUGAGGCUCGAAAGCGUGGGGAGCAAACAGGAUUA